rnacentral:rRNA from 1 species
AAGUAUAGUAAUUACAACAUACUCGCCUGGGGACUACGAGCACCAGCUUGAAACCCAAAGGACUUGGCGGUGCUUUACACCCACCUAGAGGAGCCUGUUCUAGUACUGAUAACCCCCGUUCAACCUCACCCUCUUUUGCCAUUACCGUUUGUAUACCGCCGUCGUCAGCUUACCCUGUGAAGGGUUUAUAGUGAGCACAAUUGAUUGAACCUUAUAUGUCAGGUCAAGGUGUAGCUUAUAAGAGGGAAAGUAAUGGGCUACAUUCGCUCACCAGCGUA